rnacentral:tRNA from 1 species
UGAUAUGUAGCUUAGUGGUAGAGUGCUUGCCUAGCACGUGUGAGACCCUGGGUUCGAUUCUCAGCACCACAU